AUUGAACGCUGGCGGCAUGCCUUACACAUGCAAGUCGAACGGCAGCACGGGAGCUUGCUCCUGGUGGCGAGUGGCGAACGGGUGAGUAAUACAUCGGAACGUACCCUGAAGUGGGGGAUAACGUAGCGAAAGUUACGCUAAUACCGCAUAUUCUGUGAGCAGGAAAGAGGGGGAUCGCAAGACCUCUUGCUUUAGGAGCGGCCGAUGUCGGAUUAGCUAGUUGGUGAGGUAAAGGCUCACCAAGGCGACGAUCCGUAGCGGGUCUGAGAGGAUGAUCCGCCACACUGGGACUGAGACACGGCCCAGACUCCUACGGGAGGCAGCAGUGGGGAAUUUUGGACAAUGGGCGCAAGCCUGAUCUAGCCAUGCCGCGUGAGCGAUGAAGGCCUUAGGGUUGUAAAGCUCUUUCAGUGGGGAAGAUAAUGACUGUACCCACAGAAGAAGCCCCGGCUAACUCCGUGCCAGCAGCCGCGGUAAU
rnacentral:rRNA from 1 species